GUCGAGGAUCUUCCCCAAUGCGCGAAAGCGUGAGGGAGCGACGCCGCGUGAAGGAUGAAGGCCUUCGGGUUGUAAACUUCAGUCAGGGGUUAUGAAUAGCGUCCGGUGAAUAACCGUACGCGAUGACAAAGGCCCCAGAGGAAGCCACGGCUAACUACGUGCCAGCAGCCGCGGUAAGACGUAGGUGGCAAGCGUUACUCGGAAUCACUGGGCUUAAAGGGCGCGUAGGCGGCUUUGUAUGUUGGCGUUGAAAGCCCCCGGCUUAACCGGGGAACUGGCGCCAAAACUGCAUUGCUUGAGUGCCGGAGAGGUGAGUGGAAUUCCUGGUGGAGCGGUGAAAUGCGUAGAUAUCAGGAGGAACGCCAGAUGUGAAAACGACUCACUGGUCGGCAACUGACGCUGAGUGCGCGAAAGCCAGGGGAGCAAACGGGAUUAGAAACCCGAGUAGUCC
rnacentral:rRNA from 1 species